GAUGAACGCUGGCGGCGUGCCUAAUACAUGCAAGUCGAGCGAACGGACGAGAAGCUUGCUUCUCUGAUGUUAGCGGCGGACGGGUGAGUAACACGUGGAUAACCUACCUAUAAGACUGGGAUAACUUCGGAAAACCGGAGCUAAUACCGGAUAAUACUUUGAACCGCAUGGUUCAAAAGUGAAAGACGGUCUUGCUGUCACUUAUAGAUGGAUCCGCGCUGCAUUAGCUAGUUGGUAAGGUAACGGCUUACCAAGGCAACGAUGCAUAGCCGACCUGAGAGGGUGAUCGGCCACACUGGAACUGAGACACGGUCCAGACUCCUACGGGAGGCAGCAGUAGGGAAUCUUCCGCAAUGGGCGAAAGCCUGACGGAGCAACGCCGCGUGAGUGAUGAAGGUCUUCGGAUCGUAAAACUCUGUUAUUAGGGAAGAACAUAUGUGUAAGUAACUGUGCACAUCUUGACGGUACCUAAUCAGAAAGCCACGGCUAACUACGUG
rnacentral:rRNA from 1 species